UCAUCAUGGCCGGAGCGUAAUGCUAAUGCAAUCAAUUGCUGUUACACAACGAUUAACAGAGAGACCUCUAAAUUUUGUGGUUGCCUUCAUCAGAUUUUAAAUAGGCAAGAAAGUGGAAGGACUAUAGAAGAAAAGACAAACGAUGCACACAUCUUGUUCAAGGAAAUGGAUCUUAAAAAGAAGCCUUUCACACUGAUGCAUUUCUAUGUAGAGUUUUCGAAGUAUCCAAAGUGGCAGACAAGAGAAGUUGAAACUUCUCUUAAGAAACAAAAGAAGACCAUUGAUGCAAGUCCGGGCACAGCCACCAAUGAUCCGGCUGAUGCAUCCUCGAUACGUAUUGAUGCUACCUCGAUACGCACUGAUGCUCUUGAACAUGAGAAAAGACCUGAUGGUGUGAAGAAGGAUAAGAGAGGUAAAGUUGAUGAUAGUGCUUGCAAGCUGUCAUUAGAAACUGUGUGGGCAGCAAAGCUAGAGAAGGAUGAGAUCAAAGAGGCGGCAAGAAAUGCUCGCUACGCACAGCAAUUGGAAUUGCGAAAAGAGGAAAUUGGACUAAAAAGAGAAGAUGCACGAAAUGAGAGGGAGGAUGCACGGAGAUAGUUUGAAUUAGAUGAGAGGAUCAUGCUCAUCGACACUAGUGGUAUGACUGAUGUGCAAAAGCAGUUCUACCAAGAUAAGCAGAAGGAGAUCCUUGCUCGCGGCCUAGGGUAA
rnacentral:rRNA from 1 species